rnacentral:pre_miRNA from 1 species
AACAAAUCAACUUUUCGGUUUUAGAUAUAAUGUUUAACUCUUCGUCUUAUUCAAAAAAAUAUUGUGAUUAAUAGUUUUAUUUUUAUUAGAUAAUAAAAUAUAAAUAGCACUUUAUGUGUGACUAAUUUUUUUAAAAAUUUCUUGAAAAUUUUUCAAAUAAAACGGAUGGUCAAAUGCUCGACACAAAAACC